rnacentral:rRNA from 1 species
CGUGGGUAACCUGCCCAAGAGAUCGGGAUAACACCUGGAAACAGAUGCUAAUACCGGAUAACAACAGAUGAUGCCUAUCAACUGUUUAAAAGAUGGUUCUGCUAUCACUCUUGGAUGGACCUGCGGUGCAUUAGCUAGUUGGUAGGGUAACGGCCUACCAAGGCGAUGGUGCAUAGCCGAGUUGAGAGACUGAUCGGCCACAUUGGGACUGAGACACGGCCCAAACUCCUACGGGAGGCAGCAGCA